rnacentral:rRNA from 4 species
AAACGACUCUCGGCAACGGAUAUCUCGGCUCACGCAUCGAUGAAGAACGUAGCAAAAUGCGAUACUUGGUGUGAAUUGCAGAAUCCCGUGAACCAUCGAGUUUUUGAACGCAAGUUGCGCCCGAAGCCAUCCGGCCGAGGGCACGUCUGCCUGGGCGUCACGCA